rnacentral:rRNA from 1 species
GACAGAGGGUGCAAGCGUUAAUCGGAAUUACUGGGCGUAAAGCGUGCGCAGGCGGCUUUGCAAGACAGAUGUGAAAUCCCCGGGCUUAACCUGGGAACUGCAUUUAUGACUGCAUGGCUGGAGUGCGGCAGAGGGGGAUGGAAUUCCGCGUGUAGCAGUGAAAUGCGUAGAUAUGCGGAGGAACACCGAUGGCGAAGGCAAUCCCCUGGGCCUGCACUGACGCUCAUGCACGAAAGCGUGGGGAGCAAACAGG